rnacentral:rRNA from 2 species
AAGUCGAACGGUAACAGGAAGCAGCUUGCUGCUUUGCUGACGAGUGGCGGACGGGUGAGUAAUGUCUGGGAAACUGCCUGAUGGAGGGGGAUAACUACUGGAAACGGUGGCUAAUACCGCAUAACGUCGCAAGACCAAAGAGGGGGACCUUCGGGCCUCUUGCCAUCAGAUGUGCCCAGAUGGGAUUAGCUUGUUGGUGAGGUAACGGCUCACCAAGGCGACGAUCCCUAGCUGGUCUGAGAGGAUGACCAGCCACACUGGAACUGAGACACGGUCCAGACUCCUACGGGAGGCAGCAGUGGGGAAUAUUGCACAAUGGGCGCAAGCCUGAUGCAGCCAUGCCGCGUGUAUGAAGAAGGCCUUCGGGUUGUAAAGUACUUUCAGCGGGGAGGAAGGUGUUGUGGUUAAUAACCACAG